AUGGUGAUGACAGUCGAGCAAUGCCUGAAAUUUGGGCAGCCAUGGAUGUUGCGGAAGACACACAUAACAGAUGCAUUGUCACAAAGGCCAGGCCUACAAAGUCAAGUGCUAGCAAUUGUUGACAAGAGGUGGGAUCACCAGAUGGAGCAAAAGCUACAUGGGGCUGCAAUGUUUUUGAACCCCAGCAAGUUCUUUAAAAUGAAGGAGACUAACAAAAGACUAGCUACACGGCUGCGUUCAAUGUUCAAUGAUGUGCUAUGGAAGAUGGUGCCAGAUGAUGAACUACAAUCCAAGAUAAGUAAAUUGGCUGAUGAUUAUGAGAGGACGGAGGGUGAAUGUUUCACCAAGCAAAUGGCAAAUAAAGACCGCGAGAAAAAGAGUCCUCUACUUUGGUGGAAUGCAUAUGGUGGCCUUGCUUAUGACCUCCAAUCUUUUGCAAAUCAGAUCAUUAGUCUAUGUUGUUCAUCGUCUGGCUGUGAGCGCAAUUGGAGUGCAUUUUCUCAUAUCCAUACCAAAGGAAGAAACCGUUUGGAGUAUAAGAGAUUGAACAAGCUAGCAUAUGUCUCAUACAACCGGCAAAUGACAACUAGGUUUGAAAAGUUACGCGAGCAAGGUUCCAAAGGAAAGAGGGCUAAUGCACUUAUCCUAGAAGAAUUUCAAUGGGAUAAUGAAUGGGUUGAUGUUACUGCUGAAUUGGUUCAUCAAAAUGACGCUAUGGACGAUGACAAUCCACUACUUUGGUCCCAUGUUGAUCAGGCCGUUGGCGCGACCGAUGGUCUAAGUGGACGCCAUCUUCCAAGGAGGGCUCGUGGUGAUUUCAGUGAGUCUAGUCCUCCCGCUGGCUCUAAUAUCUUUUACACUCGAAGGACAAGUGUGGUUGUCCAUGAUGAAGACUUGCGGGCUGAAUUGGAAGCUGAAGAUAUUGAUAGUGACAUGGAGACCAAUGGUGAAGACAAUGAUGGCCCUACACGAGCAAAUGAUAUAGACCCUGAUUUUCAGCUGGAUAUAGAUCUGGAUUGA
rnacentral:rRNA from 1 species